AAGCACGAGCCCCAACCAGGUGCAGCAAUAGCGUGGCGCGGAGGAAACGGGUGUAUCUUGACUAGCGGAAGGCUGGGCGUUCUAGUCAUACCGGUGAUUAAACAGUAUUGGUGUGGUGAGGGAUAGCAAGCAUCGUGAAGCCUAUCUUGACUGUUAGAUGUUACUCUUUCCAGGACAGAGGAAUUGAGAACAACCACUGGUACUAGUAUAACUAUUUUCUCUGAAAUAGUUUCCCCAUUUCAACUAAGAGUGAAGAGAUUUUUGGAUAAAGAACUUGUAAUAAUCAGGUAUAAUAUGAAGUCAUAGAUCUUGGAAUUUGCUAAACAGAAGUGUUGCAUCUAAGUGCAAUAUGUUCCCUGAGAGCAGAAAGUUUCAACAAAGACUACUUCCCAAAAUUGUUUAUGAUGAGGAUUACACUCUUGUUUUACAGAUGACCCAGAAGAUGGACAUUUGGCAAGCCAUAAUAGACUGCUCCUUUCCCAGUUCUUUAGUAAUUUUCAGGGUUACUCACUGAGGGCAGACUCCUCUGGAAACAAAAUACCUAUACAUUUACCAUGAGAUGAGAUGGGAAGAAAAGAAGAGAAAAAAGACAAGACAAAAUCAGGAAGCCAUAAGAACAAUGUUCAAAUACUUCUACUUCUCAGGAUGGUUGUAUCUUAAUUUUUGCAUCUUACAUGAUCAACUCACAAGGGCUUUUCUAUAAAUGCUAAAUUCCCAGUUCUCCACAUGUCUUGCAAAACCCAGUUUGGGAGGUAGAGGUGGCCAUGGGACCAAGCAUCUCCUGCAGAAUGACAAGAAAUCUACUCCAGCUAGCCCACCUGCUCUGCAACUCGGGAUGCUGAUCCAUGCUGAUUUGUAAAAAUUUAUUUACUUUUAAAAAUGAGAUUGUUGCGUAUUUGAGUUGUCGGGGUAAGUUUUUGCACACCUACCAGCUGGUGGCUAGAGCAAUACCAGUGGAGUUCAUAUUAAGCCCACAAAUAUUGCCUUAAUGCCCAUCUAUCUUCUGAUGGGCUUUACAAAUUCUCUUUCUCUCCUUUCCCUUCUUGCUUGUUUCAGGAUUUCUACCAAAAGAAAAAGGAAUCUCUGCAAGAGCUUUAUGACUUGUGGUUUAAGAAGACUUUGGGAACUGUCUUCACCCUUUGAGCUUUCCCUCCACUCCAAGAGUGAAGCCCAUGACUUUCAUCCACAGCAACUGCCACCCUGAACUGCUGCUGCCAGCAGAGAAGAAACAAAAGUAUGUUGCAGCUGUCUCGGGUUAUUUAUCUGAUUUGAGAAGCUUACUUCCCUCCACUCAGUGGUGAAGAUAAAGAAGGAGCAGGUUUGGGAGAGAAGAGCAGGAACUUCGUUUCACACACAUUAUAUUGAGAUGUCUGUUAGCUGCACAAGUUGCAAGUUCCAUAAACACAGUAGAGCUUGUGACUCGUGUUUUACUGAAGGGAAUAUGCAGCUAUUAUACAUUCCAGGCUUUCCAGAAGGGGGUGUUGAAGAAGCCAAAAAUGAAGUGAGCUACGUGGCUCAGAGUAGCAGUGGUGCUCUGGCUCUCAGCACUAGCAUCUCCAUGCUUCUGCAGCCCUCUCUUCUCUUCAAACACACUUAUUCACUUCCACUUUUUAGAAAUAAAUGUUCAUCUAAGAAGAACAUCAAAAAUAUUUGUUAUUGGGGGAAAAGAUUCAGAGGACCUUCCUAACGGUAUGGCACAGUGCUGGAUAUCUUAUUCUGACAGCAAUAUUUGGGAGGAAUGGAGAAAAACAGCAGCGUGUCUUGGAAAAGUGGAAUACAUGGACAAACUUUGAUCUGUCAUUCUGGUUUAAUCCAAGGAACAAAUGCAGCCUUACCAAUCUAGGUGCUAGAUGAAAGCAGAGGAAACUGAGCUGCAAUAAAAACUGAGAUUAACACCAAAUGAACAAGAAACAAGAGAGCAAGCAUUUUGGAGGGCUCUGAAAAUGCACACACACACACCCAUAUUCUUAUUCUCUUGAUUUGACAUUUUACCCUGGACUGGAUACUACUGAUCUGAAAUGGAUCGCAAUGCAUUUACUGCCAUCUUUCCCACGAGUGACCUGUCCAGUACCACACCAUGCAUUCUAGGGUAAACCAGCUUCUCACAUGGGGGUGACAGAAUGAGGCUGAGGGAUAAUGGUAGAGCAGCUUGGAGAUGGGCCAGAGGUGGGAGUGGUUCUGGGGCAGGGCAUUGCCCAACAAAUUACUCUUGGCCAUGUACAAAAUUUUUAACCUUGGAAACUUUAGUAAUUAAGGCAAGUUAAACAUUGAUAAAUUUGACUCUUUUUAUUGUUCUUUUUUUUUUAAAACAAAAACUAACUAGAAUAAGUAUAGUGUCCUAAUUCUUCUGUUUCCUUCCCCCAUCCCUUCUGAAUAGACCCCUCUAUAAAAUUUUUAAUUAAUAUUGAUAAAUAACAAUUUGAUAUAUUAAUGACAUACAACUGUAUAAUAACUUUUGGCAAUUUCUCUCCCCUCAGCCACUCCUGACCACGAGAUGGCAUUUAGUGGAUGGUUUAAUCAUUUUCAUCUCACAGAGCCUGGUUUUUAAGAAUCUAUGAUGCCCAAGACCUGAGGUUGUGUUGCUUCUUACUACACAAGGAGCACACAUAGAAAACUGUUUCCCAAAUUAUGCCAGCCCCUCUAUCUCAGCUCUCACUCCCCUACUUUUUAUGCCCAUACUUCUACCAACAUUUUCCCUCCCUGCACCCGCAUAUUGUGACCAUGUAACCCAGACAGACCACUUUCAGAGUACAAUUUUGGAAUUUUAGGUUCUAUUCCCAACUGUACCAGGCCUGCCUCUGGGAACCUAAAGUAUCCUAUAAUCUAGUGUGCCUUGGUGUCUCCAUCUGUCAAUCAAAACAAUAACCUAGAGUACUGGUGAGAUGUCCCCAGUGAAGACACUGCUGGGUCUGCAGAAUAAAAAUGGCUACAUGUAUGCUCUAAGCCAAAGUAGUUCCUCAGUGUACGCCAUAGUUGUUAUGUGAGACAAUCAAAACCCUCUGGCAAGACAUCUUUAUAUCAGAAUAGAGUUUCCCUUCGGCAUGUUGCCCAGCUUGAGUACCAACAUCUUAGCCAGCCUCUUGAGUUGAAGCACACACCUUGAGAUUUUAGCAAAGUAUUUUUAAGAUGUAGCACCAUUCUUCCCAAAAGUUCUCAGUCCACUGUUUUUCAGGAACCUUAGGUUAUGUGGCUGGCUUACUUUACAGAGCAGUUGUGUUUUGGGGGUGGGUGGUACUGUUGUGGGAGGAGUACUGGGUAUUUAACCUAGGGUCUUCGCACUGAGCAGCAUCUCCAGUCUCUUUUAUUUUUCAUUUUGAGACAGGGUUUUGCUAAGUCACUAAGUUGCCCAGGGUGGGCUCAAAAUUGCUAUCCUCCUACUUCAGCCUUCCAGAGUGCUGGGAUUACAGGCAUGUACCAGUAUACCUGGCUGGACAAAACAUUUUUGGUGGAUAGAAUUUUAUUUUAAAUGUAUAACAGGAACUCACCAUAUCAACACUUUAUUUGAUGGUUUAUUUUAUAAAGCAGGAAUCUAACACAUUUCUAUUUCUUAAAACCUGACAUACCACAAACCCCCUUCCUUCUUGCCGUUUGGCAAGGAACAUCUGAGACCGCGUGGUUUCACCUUAUUUACACUCAGCAGUACCCAGCUCUCAGGAUGUUUGGCUCCUGCCUACUUGACUCUUCUGGGCAGCCUCUGCUCAUUCCAGUUUCCUCCCACUUAAGCAAAUAGAGCAUGUUGCUAUGUUCUAUCACUAUGAGCCUGGUCCCAACCUCUGUCAUAGUUCACUUCCCUGGCCUCCUUCUAAGCCAGGCCCUGCUCAGCCUCUGCAGCCUGCAGCUGGUCCUGAGGCCCAAAUUCUCCAGGCUUAUCCUAAUAUCUACCUUGGCCUUACUGGAAGUCAGCUCACACUGAGACAUAGACAGGGUCACAGCAUUCCCCAGACAUCCAGUCCUUUGCCUCUCUAUCAUUGCUUUUUAGAAGUCAGAGCUGCAGCAGGCUGUGUUUCAUCAAGUUGUUCUGAGUUCUUGUGGACAGUGGCUACUCAUUCGCACAGUCAGAGAGCAUACUGCAGCCCACACUGCUGUGCAGCACAGUUCACAGGCUAGCCCUUAGCCAGGCCAUGCCCACACUCUGAAAGGUGACAUUCUCAUCAAGAGGGUGAAAGAUUCUCCAGACUCAGGAGCCUGGGAGGCACAUGACAAAGCAUGGUCAGCUGUGGCUCCAAGCAUUAGUGAAGGGACCUGGCAUAGAAGGGCCAUAAGAAUUCUUGUCUAUGGAAACAUGGAAACUACCGUCCCAGCCCUAACUCCACUCUCACCACUCCCAAGUCAUCUAAUUCUCUGACAUCAAAUGUGCAAUGAUUCACAACUGUAGAGAAGCUCAGGAUUACCAUAUGUAUAUUUUUUUCUGGUUUGUGUGAUAGAAUAAUUGCUUUCCAAAAAUGUCCAUGUCCUAAUCCCUGUAGCCUAUGAAUAUGUUAUUUUACAUGGUCAAAGAGACAUUGUAGAUAGGAUUCAAUGAAGGAUGUUGCACCUGGGUUGUUCAGGUGCCUUCAGUGUAAACACACAGGCCCUUAGGAUUGAAGAGUGUUUCCCAGCUUGGUCAGAGGAAACCUGACUACAGGAACAUGGGGCAGGGGGCGUGCAACAUUGCUGGCUUCAGAAGAGGGGCCACAAGCGAAGGAGUGUGGGUGGCCUCCAGAGGGUAGAAAAGGCAAAGAGCUAGCUUCUCCCCUACAGCCUCCAGGAAGGAAUGCAGCCCUGGGGACAUCUUGAUUUUAGCCCUGGGAAAACCAUUUUGGACUUCUGACCCCCAGAACGCUAAGAUAAUAAAUUUGCAUUGUUUAUGA